GACGAACCGAGCGAACGUUGUUCGGAAUCACUGGGCUUAAAGGGCUCGUAGGCGGGCGGCUAAGUCCGCGGUGAAAUCCUCCAGCUCAACUGGAGAACUGCCGCGGAUACUGGUCGUCUCGAGGAACGUAGGGGUAUGCGGAACUAUCGGUGGAGCGGUGAAAUGCGUUGAUAUCGAUAGGAACUCCGGUGGCGAAGGCGGCAUACUGGACGUUUUCUGACGCUGAGGCGCGAAAGCCAGGGGAGCAAACGGG
rnacentral:rRNA from 1 species